AUUGAACGCUGGCGGCAGGCCUAACACAUGCAAGUCGAGCGGGAACUUCGGUUCUAGCGGCGGACGGGUGAGUAAUGCGUAGGAAGCUACCCGACAGAGGGGGAUACCAGUUGGAAACGACUGUUAAUACCGCAUAAUGUCUACGGACCAAAGUGUGGGACCUUCGGGCCACAUGCUGUCGGAUGCGCCUACGUGGGAUUAGCUAGUUGGUGAGGUAAUGGCUCACCAAGGCGACGAUCCCUAGCUGGUUUGAGAGGAUGAGCAGCCACACUGGAACUGAGACACGGUCCAGACUCCUACGGGAGGCAGCAGUGGGGAAUAUUGGACAAUGGGCGCAAGCCUGAUCCAGCCAUGCCGCGUGUGUGAAGAAGGCCUUCGGGUUGUAAAGCACUUUCAGUAGGGAGGAAGAGUUGAGUGUUAAUAGUACUCAGCUUUGACGUUACCUACAGAAGAAGCACCGGCUAACUCUGUGCCAGCCGCCGCGGUAAAAC
rnacentral:rRNA from 1 species